rnacentral:lncRNA from 1 species
UUGAAAAAUCGUUAUCAUUGCAACUUGAUGACUAAAGACUCAAGACUAAGGAGCUCUUACUUCAUGUAUUGUACAGGGGAACUUCGUUCCUCUAUGAAUUACCAAAGUUGGAUCAAGACUAAAGUUUGUGGGUUUUUAGGAGAACGAAGCAACCUAUACAGUGAGAAUCAACAUAAUCGAUUCCUUACCUUGUUUACAUUUCCUUGCGGAC